rnacentral:sRNA from 1 species
AUGACAGUACUGGAAACUGAAAUCCUCUUUCUCUAAAGAACAGGUACAGCACAGCGGUAGCAGUGCAGACCUUCCCCAUGCUGCCUCGUCAAUUUAUCUCAGCCCAGGCCUAGACAGACCACCUCUAGGGAAGUUCAGUCUCUUUUCUCGCUCACUGUUAGGCUUUU